UACGUAGGGGGCAAGCGUUGUCCGGAUUUAUUGGGCGUAAAGAGCGUGUAGGCGGCCAUACAGGUCCGUUGUGAAAACUGGAGGCUUAACCUCCAGACGUCGAUGGAAACCGUAUGGCUAGAGUCCGGGAGAGGAGAGUGGAAUUCCUGGUGUAGCGGUGAAAUGCGCAGAUAUCAGGAAGAACACCCGUGGCGAAAGCGGCUCUCUGGAACGGUACUGACGCUGAGACGCGAAAGCGUGGGGAGCAAACAGG
rnacentral:rRNA from 1 species